GAUGAACGCUGGCGGCGUGCCUAAUACAUGCAAGUCGAGCGAACGGACGAGAACCUUGCUUCUCUGAUGUUAGCGGCGGACGGGUGAGUAACACGUGGAUAACCUACCUAUAAGACUGGGAUAGCUUCGGGAAACCGGAGCUAAUACCGGAUAAUAUUUUGAACCGCAUGGUUCAAAAGUGAAAGACGGUCUUGCUGUCACUUAUAGAUGGAUCCGCGCUGCAUUAGCUAGUUGGUAAGGUAACGGCUUACCAAGGCAACGAUGCAUAGCCGACCUGAGAGGGUGAUCGGCCACACUGGAACUGAGACACGGUCCAGACUCCUACGGGAGGCAGCAGUAGGGAAUCUUCCGCAAUGGGCGAAAGCCUGACGGAGCAACGCCGCGUGAGUGAUGAAGGUCUUCGGAUCGUAAAACUCUGUUAUUAGGGAAGAACAUAUGUGUAAGUAACUGUGCACAUCUUGACGGUACCUAAUCAGAAAGCCACGGCUAACUACGUGCCAGCAGCCGCGGUAAUACGUAGGUGGCAAGCGUUAUCCGGAAUUAUUGGGCGUAAAGCGCGCGUAGGCGGUUUUUUAAGUCUGAUGUGAAAGCCCACGGCUCAACCGUGGAGGGUCAUUGGAAACUGGAAAACUUGAGUGCAGAAGAGGAAAGUGGAAUUCCAUGUGUAGCGGUGAAAUGCGCAGAGAUAUGGAGGAACACCAGUGGCGAAGGCGACUUUCUGGUCUGUAACUGACGCUGAUGUGCGAAAGCGUGGGGAUCAAACAGGAUUAGAUACCCUGGUAGUCCACGCCGUAAACGAUGAGUGCUAAGUGUUAGGGGGUUUCCGCCCCUUAGUGCUGCAGCUAACGCAUUAAGCACUCCGCCUGGGGAGUACGACCGCAAGGUUGAAACUCAAAGGAAUUGACGGGGACCCGCACAAGCGGUGGAGCAUGUGGUUUAAUUCGAAGCAACGCGAAGAACCUUACCAAAUCUUGACAUCCUUUGACAACUCUAGAGAUAGAGCCUUCCCCUUCGGGGGACAAAGUGACAGGUGGUGCAUGGUUGUCGUCAGCUCGUGUCGUGAGAUGUUGGGUUAAGUCCCGCAACGAGCGCAACCCUUAAGCUUAGUUGCCAUCAUUAAGUUGGGCACUCUAAGUUGACUGCCGGUGACAAACCGGAGGAAGGUGGGGAUGACGUCAAAUCAUCAUGCCCCUUAUGAUUUGGGCUACACACGUGCUACAAUGGACAAUACAAAGGGCAGCGAAACCGCGAGGUCAAGCAAAUCCCAUAAAGUUGUUCUCAGUUCGGAUUGUAGUCUGCAACUCGACUACAUGAAGCUGGAAUCGCUAGUAAUCGUAGAUCAGCAUGCUACGGUGAAUACGUUCCCGGGUCU
rnacentral:rRNA from 1 species